GUAGAGAGAAGUGUGUUCCAGCUGCUGGUGCUAACAAAGAUCUGAGACCAAGAAAGGAUGGGAAGAAGGAGAAGAAAAAUUUUGAUUUAUCUCAGAAACUAUACUCCGAAGUGAGAGUCCUGGUUGCAGGAUCAUCACAUUUUGGAGUUCUCAGUCCUGUGUACAAAGUCCAACUAUCUGAGGCCACCAUGCACUUAGGAUGUCCAGGCCACCUGGAGAGGCUACCAGAUAUGUGUAUGAAGAAGUUGUCUUGAAAGUGGAUCUUCCAGCCCAUGUUAUUCUAGCUACAGCUGUUUGAGUCUCCUUGUACAAGCCCCAGACAUCAUGGAAUGGAGAAGAGCUGAGCCACGGUGUCCUCUCCAAAUUCUCAAUCCACAAAACUCAUGAAAAUAAUAAAAUGAUUGUGUCUUUGUGCUACUAAAUUUAGGGAAAUUUGUUAUUCAGCAAAGAUGAUUAGAACAAGAGACCACAAUUUGACUAUCAUAUUUCAGAAAUGACACAGAUCCAGAGAGGUUAAAUAAAUCAUUUUAUUCAAAUGAA
rnacentral:lncRNA from 1 species